UUCACAAAUUAAACAAGAAAAUUACAGAAAAUGUUGAUAAAUACCAAAAUUUGAGUAAAACUAGUUUUUAAAUUCAUAAUCUAAAAUUAAAUACUUAACAGGUAAAUAAAAGGCUGAUUGCAUAUCCGUCCUCCUUGUUGAGAAUCUUUGUUCUAGGUUGAGAGUCCUCUUGUGCUUUUCCAUACCCAAAUAAUCUAACCCGGAAUGUGCAGAAGAAUUCCACUGGAUUCCAAACCACAUCUUGAAUCCCAGCAGAUGAACUAGCUGCAUAUGCAUUUUUGUCGAUUUUUCUCAUGUCCAGCAUGAAAAUAAGUCAAUUUUACUUGGAGGAUCCUACAUGAAGGUAACCCCUCUUAAGCAGAUAGCCAUCACGUGUUUCACCAUAAUUGAUUAAACAAGCAAAACAAAAUUCCUCUCCUGAAAUCCAAUACAAGAUUUUGAAUGGCAAUGGUAACGUUGUACAGAAAAAACAUUUUUAUCUCCAGCACGAAAUCAAAAUGGCAAAGGAAGAUUUAAAAGCAAAAGGAUUCAAAUUUUGACUUGUGAUAUGUUAUAUUUUAAAGGACAUUCACUGUUAUUUUUAUGGAUCAUUCCACAGAAAUAUAUGUAUGUUAUUUUUGUAAAAUAAACAUUUAAUACCAA